CUGGAUCGGGGCGGCGGCGGCGGCUGAGCACCGGUGCUUUCGAGGUACAACUCCUCCCUCUCUCCCGUCCCUCCCUCUCUCUGCCUUGACAGGGUCGCUGUGAGCCCGUGACCGUGGACUGGCGGGGAACAGGGAACACAGUUGCUCUGCUGGUGGACGCACGUUGUGGUGACCAGGAGACCUCCGGCGGUGGGUAAUGGAGAGAGCUUUGGAUGCGAACUGAAUUUCAUCUCUCUCGGUUUUUUUUUUCUACAGAUAGCACGGAGGAACGAACACUGGAAACAUUCAGCUGGCAGCGAGAAGUAGCAGACUAAUUUUUGUGUCGGCUAGAUCAUGAUUGGCUCCCCGUAUGUGGUUUCUGAUCAUAUUGGCUCUGUGAAAAUUGGGUUUUCUCUGUAAUCUCUAUAUGAGAUUAUUCUAUGAUCGUUGGAGCAGGGGAAUAGCAUGGUGUGCAGCUAUAUAUGCUCUUGUGAGAAAUCUCUGAUGCUACAGAUGUUUAUAUAUAAUAGCAGUAACAUUGAAGUAUCAGGUACGACAAGUAAAUUUGUUUCAAGAACCAAUUCCAGUGCAACAUUUUUGUUUUGGUUUUAUGGGCUUUCUCCUGCAAUCAGCACUGAAUGCUGUAUGCUGAUGCCAUAUUUACUGGUUUUGCUUUGAGUUGGUCUUCUCAAGGAUACCAUGCUCAAUUGACAUGUUGGUUGGAAUAGUGCAAAUUGGUAUGUCUUGCUUUCUGUGACCAACUACUUGAACGUUGAAACGUCAUACAGUACAUUCAUGUAAACAACAUGUAUUUCUUUUGAUUUCACAUGUGCAGAGAGAACUUGCCAUACGUUGUUGUCCCAUCGGCAAUAGUAUAGAAUUCAGUAAUUAUCUUGCUAUCUUUGCCCACUAGCAUUUUUUAGACUAAUAAUGGCAGUACAGAUUUCACUUAGAGAUUGCAGAGUUCUAUAUGACCAAAUCGUUUCUUCGAAACCUGCUUGACACCAAGGCUCUCAAGAAAAGGGGUUGUGUGUUUUAAACUCAGCAAGGCGAUGAACAUGGAAGUAUAGCUUCAUCUUCUAUUUGACAAUAUUAUGUUAUAAUACAUAUUUUUCUUGUUCUUUUGUUUAAAAAUUCGUAUUUUUGGGCAACAACACAAGGACUAGACGAUAAUGUAUUACUUAUGACACUUGGAUUCAAGCCAUACAGUAGAGUGAAUUCCAUCUUCUUGGUUAGAAUACACAACGGAUUCGAAUUGUGAAUCUUAACAGGACUAAUUUGAGAUCAGCAGAACGGGCCCGAAGAAAUGCUGAUAUUGAGCUAGGUUUGCAAGGCGAUAUGUCAAGCUCUGCGUAGGCUGGUUUCAAUAGCUUAUUUAAACAGGUGCCUCCUUUUCGUUUUUAUGUGUUUUUGAGUCUCUUUCGUAUAAACAUAGCCUGUAGAUGUCCUGUGGUGUGAUUUUAUUUUUUCGAGCUGAGAUGGGUGUUAUCAUAGAAUUCAGGUUAGGGAGAUCAAGAAAUUGUUUCAUAUGUUAACAAAACUACUGAAGGAUAUGCAGGUGAGCAACUAUUAUAUGAGUUUAGAUGACUGAAUAUCAGUAGUACAUCAAUAUCUACUGCUUUAUAUACUUUGUCACAUACGGUCACAUUCAUAUAUGAUAACCAUAUCUCAAUCGAGUGUUGUUUCUUUUUUCAUUCAGAGUGUACAUUACUUCCAGUGUAGCAAGAACGGAAAAUAAGAUACUCUCUAAAUAAUGUUAUCU
rnacentral:lncRNA from 1 species